GACGAACGCUGGCGGCGUGCUUAAUACAUGCAAGUCGAGCGAGGUUACUGGAGUGGAGCCCUUCGGGGUGAAGCUGCUUUAACCUAGCGGCGGACGGGUGAGUAACGCGUGGGUAACCUACCCCAAAGCCCGGGAUAACAGCGGGAAACCGCUGCUAAUACCGGAUGACUUUACCUUGGGGCAUCUUGAGGUAAAGAAAGGUUAACGCUUUGGGAUGGGCCCGCGUCCCAUUAGCUAGUUGGUGAGGUAACGGCUCACCAAGGCGACGAUGGGUAGCCGGCCUGAGAGGGUGGACGGCCACACUGGGACUGAGACACGGCCCAGACUCCUACGGGAGGCAGCAGUAGGGAAUAUUGCGCAAUGGACGGAAGUCUGACGCAGCGACGCCGCGUGAGCGAUGAAGGCCUUCGGGUCGUAAGCUCUGUCCUUGGGAGAAGGUCUUCGGACUUGACGGUACCCAAGAAGAAAGACCCGGCUAACUACGUG
rnacentral:rRNA from 1 species